AAAAGAGAAAGCGAGUCGCCGCCGCCAACUCACACACCUUGUUCUUCUGCCGCUCCACCGUCCUACUCCUCCGCUGGUCGCAAUGGAAGAGAUCACCAUGCUCCUCAUUGACAAUGGCUCCAGCAUGUGCAAAGUUGGCUUUGCUGGGGACGACGCCCCCCGAACCGUGUUUCCCUCCAUCGUCGGAUGCCCCCGACACCAGGGCGUGAUGGUGGGCAUGGGCCAGAAGGACUCCUAUGUGGGCAACGAGGCCCAGAGCAUGGGCAGCAUCCUGACCCUGAAGUACCCUAUUGAGCAUGGCAUCGUCACCAACUGGGACGACAUGGAGAUCUGGCACCACACCUUCUACAACGAGCUGCCCGUGGCCCCAGAGGAGCACCCAGUGCUGCUGACCGAGGCCCCCCUGAACCCCAAGACCAACAGAGAGAAGAUGACUCAGAUUAUGUUUGAGACCUUCAACACCCCGGCCAUGCACGUGGCCAUCCAGGCAGUUCUGUCCCUCUACACCUCUGGGCGCACCACUGGCAUUGUCAUGGACUCUGGAGACGGGUUCACCCACACGGUGACCAUCUACGAGAGCUACGCCCUCCCCCAUGCCAUCCUGCGUCUGGACCUGGCUGGCCGGGACCUGACUGUCUACCUCAUGAAGAUCUUCACCGAGCAUGGCUACAGCUUCACCAUCACAGCCGAGUGGGAAAUUGUGCGCGACAUCAAGGAGAAGCUGUGCUACGUUGUCCUGGACUUUGAGCAGGAGAUGGCCACCACCGCAUCUUCCUCUUUUCUGGAGAAGAGCUACAAGCUGCCCGAUGGCCAGGUCAUCACCAUCGGCAAUGAGCAGUUCCGGUGUCCGGAGGCACUGUUCCAGUCUUCCUUCCUGGGCAUGGAACCUUGCGGCAUCCAUGAGAUGCUUCAACUCCAUCAUAAAGUGUGAUGUGGACAUCCGCAAAGACCUGUACGCCAACACGGUGCUGUCCAGAGGCACCAACAUGUACCCAGGCAUCGCCGACAGGAUGCAGAAGGAGAUCACCACCCUGGCACCGAGCACCAUGAAGAUCAAGAUCAUUGCACCCCCAGAGCGCAAGUACUCGGUGUGGAUCGGCAGCUCCAACCUGGCCUCACUAUCCACCUUCCAGCAGAUGUGGAUAAGCAAGCAGAAGUAGGACAAGUCGGGCCCCUACAUCGUCCACUGCAAAUGCUUCUAA